rnacentral:lncRNA from 1 species
UUGGCGCGGCGCGGUGACAUGGAAGGGACAUAUACGCACAUCGCUGCAUGGGCUGGAACUGCUGCUGGUUCAGCGUUGAGAGACACGGACACCGCCGGGGAGAAUUAUUAUGCUGCUGCCGCAACUACAACCGAAGGCACCAGUCAACCGAAGGCUGUCAUCAGUUUGUGUUUGUUUGUCUCUGCACGUUGAGAAAUGUGGAAUGCUGCGUUCGGAAAUGGGUCAGAUUUGCGUAGUGGAGGAGGCGGCGGCUGCGGCGGCGGGUACGUGCCAGCGCAGGACUGGGAAUUCGUUUCCUGCUCGCGCCUGGAAAGAGAAAGAGAGCGCGGCAGAGGGAAGAGUCGCAGCCCGUUCAGGACGUUCUCCUCCCCGCCAACAGUCACUCAGUUCUACGAACAGUCUCAUCCUGGAACGGUUGGAACAUCACUGGAGCUUCCUCGGGGACAAGUUCGGGCGCAAGAGCCAGGGACUCAUCACUCCCGCCUGAAAAAGAAGUUUGAACACUUCAAGAAACGCCACGGACAGGACAAGGAAGAAUGGAUACGAGAGAAGGAGAUACUUUUAAGACAAGUUGCUGAGAUACAAGGUGGGGAGAACAGAAGGAUUUUGUUGGAUCUGAAGACUGUAGUGGAGGAGGUGCAGCUAGAGGUGAAGAGAGAGGAGUCGAAGAGGAGCGAGCUACAGCUGCAGUACACUAAGGACAGAUGUGCCUGGGAACUGGAGAGAGCUGAGCUGAAAUGCAGAAUCGCACAGGCUACCAGGGCCUACCACUAAGCAUCCUGGGUCUUCGGGCUACCAGGGCCUACCACUAAGCAUCCUGUGUCUUCAGGCUACCAGGGUUUGCCACUAAGCAUCCUGUGUCUUCGAGCUACCAGGGUUUGCCACUAAGCAUCCUGUGUCUUCGAGCUACCAGGGUUUGCCACUAAGCAUCCUGGGUCUUCAGGCUACCAGGGUUUGCCACUAAGCAUCCUGUGUCUUCGAGCUACCAGGGUUUGCCACUAAGCAUCCUGGGACUCAGCCGGAUAUUUGCAGGCAUAUUUGUCCACAUACUUUAGAUGUUUGUUGAGCAGAAAACUCUCCAUCAGUCCUUCCAGCCCCACCGCACACACACACACACACACCACACACACACACAACACACACACACACACACACACACACACACACACAGAGAGAAACAUCUCCGUCGUCCUCCAAGCCCCACCGCUCACACACACACACACACACACACCACACACACACACACACACACACACACACACACACACACACACACAACACACACAGAGAGAAACAUCUCCGUCGUCCUUCCAGCCCCCACCGCUCCCUGAAUGUACGUGACGCUGUA